AUUGAACGCUGGCGGUAUGCCUUACACAUGCAAGUCGAACGGUAGAGGGGCAACCCUUGAGAGUGGCGAACGGGUGAGUAAUACAUCGGAACGUGCCCAGUCGUGGGGGAUAACGUAGCGAAAGCUACGCUAAUACCGCAUACGACCUGAGGGUGAAAGCGGGGGAUCGCAAGACCUCGCGCGAUUGGAGCGGCCGAUGGCAGAUUAGGUAGUUGGGGGGGUAAAGGCCUACCAAGCCUGCGAUCUGUAGCUGGUCUGAGAGGACGACCAGCCACACGGGGACUAAGACACGGCCCAGACUCCUACGGGAGGCAGCAGUGGGGAAUUUUGGACAAUGGGCGCAAGCCUGAUCCAGCCAUACCGCGUGCGGGAAGAAGGCCUUCGGGUUGUAAACCGCUUUUGUCAGGGAAGAAAUCUUCUGGGCUAAUACCUCGGGAGGAUGACGGUACCUGAAGAAUAAGCACCGGCUAACUACGUGCCAGCCGCCGCCGUAAGAC
rnacentral:rRNA from 1 species